CUCCAGUGUUCUCAAGAACUUAAGUAAAAAUUAAAUAAAAGCACCAGCUCAAUUUUAUCCAAGGAGGAUAAAGGCCAAAGAGAAACAGUUCAGAAACAAAGCAAAAAGAAAUGAAUGUAUGCUUGAAUGACCUGAAUGGUUAAUAGGAAAGAAAACUUCUAAAAUAAGAACAAACUCAAGGCUGUGACUAAGGAGGCAAACAAAACUGCAGGUCACCUGUUGUAGGUAGUCCUGUCAUGGCUUGUGCCACGUUCUCAUGGUGAAUUCCUGAGCAAAUACUUACACCUUGCCCAAACAAACGUCAAGUGUUGCAUUUCAGUGGUGCUGAACAAAUGUUCUGCUAAAUAAGCAUGUUGUUCUUUGAGAGAGGAGGCAGCCGCCUUGGGCAGGAGCCCUGCAACCAGGCACAGAUGUCCUGGCUUUGUGACAGAGGAAGCAAGCUGGCUUCUGGAACAAUUGCCACACAAGAUGGAUCUGGGCAUGAAGCAUGGGACAAUCUGAUGACUGACAUAGAGAAUGGAGUAAUUGCUCUUUGAAAAGGGCUUCAAGAGCUUCUGGAACUUACAUGGUCACUCCAUGAAGUGUGACAUUUAAUAUCUGCUAAAAGGAUACUGAUGGUGAAAGUGAGCUGACUCUCCUAGGAAAUUCUCGGACACAGAUUCAUCCACUUUAUGGCGAUGUAUGUACAGAGAACUAUAUCAUCUGCAGACAGAAUAAAACUGUAUUUGAAAUACA
rnacentral:lncRNA from 1 species